AAUGAAAACGUUCACAGUUAAUUCUGGUUAAAUGAUACCUACAUAUUUAUUUUUAUUUUAUUUUAUUUUCAGUUUCAAUAGCCCCAUCAAGGACUAAUGCCAAAAUUGUAGAUUCAAGAAAUCAAAACCUGUCUGACCAUGAAGUAGGCUUAAAUCUCAAAAGGCAACAGAACGGAUGAGAAAGAAAGCCGUUAGCUUACAUGCUAAUGCUCGCUUAUACAUAUGACGUCACACUCUCAAAACUCCGCCCACUCCGUGAUGACGGACGCGGUCGUCGGCAGCUGAAAAAGACAAGGAUAGAAACCAAACCUGUCAUUUUAUUGUAUGACAAUCAUAUUGAGUGUCAGCAAUCGAUGUAACCGCGGAUUUGCAGCAAACACUUUUUACAAGUCAGGAUUCUGCAUAAAGCUGAAGUCCUGCUGCUGAAAACAUUCGACUCGGCUGUUACAUUUCGUUUGUUGUCAUUAUGGAUGUCACAACUUGAUGUUACUACUGAUGGAAACCACAAAGAAGACAAUGACAGGAAGUGGCUGCAUGUUACUUAUUUUGUGAAUUUUAAUUGCAUCUCUUAUUUAAUGGAAACAGCAGAAUUGCAACAUUUUUUUUUUUUUUUACGUUAGAGGAAUAUUGACAAAGUUUUACACACAUUUGUAAUGCAAACACAGGUAGUCACCAAAAACAGGGAAAGAAAGGAGGGGCAAAUAUUUUUUGCAGCAUUGCAGUGAGCUAUCAGUUUAAUGAUGCAAUGUUCCCCAACAUGAAUAUUAAGGUUCAGUUGUUGCUGAGUUACUACUCUUUGUGUCGCCUUUACUCUGUAAACGCUCUGAUCCAUUCGAGCAGAGAUGAAGAGGAAGAUCUUGCUUUUCUUCUUCUUCUAUCCUCAGCUGGAGAAGUUGCCUCAGCAUCAAGGAUUGAAUUUGGCCCCAAGGGAAACCAAAAUUGGACCAAUCAAUACAAUUAGAUUGUUUUUCUACGCCGCAUCGAGCACAUUAAUCUGGCAUGUAAACUCAUUCAGCAAGUUGGAUGCUUUAUUCAGGAGUCAAGAAGAGUAAUGUCAGGCUUUGUGUGUUAAAUAUUGAAAGCAGUUGCUGAAUUCUCCUCAGAGGUCUUCCUAAUGAUGCUCUCUUGGAACCGACACAAUUGGCAAAUGAUUAUUGAUUUCAACACCGGAGGAGGCUGGCUGGCUUUCAGAGCAACACUGUGCCAAGUUGCAGUCUCUAGAUUUUCUGACUAAAACCAAACAUGUAUGUUAUUUGAGGAGUAGUCUCACAUUAGUCUUUAUAAAGCUCAACAGCGUGCCAUUACGUGUUAAAGGAGCAUAUUGCAGCCUCUUUCACACCAAGGGCGGUUUUUAAAUUCUCAUCACUUUUCUGACUGAGAGGUGAGAGAGUGAGAGGGUGAAACCCUGCAAACCGACGACAGUUACACCAAAUUACAAGCAUACAAAGACAAACAGGCGACAUUAACUCUUAACGCUCUCAGCCUUAGGCCAAACUAAUAACGCCUCAAUUGAAUCAGCUCUAAAUAAAUGAUGGUGCUGUAGUUUAAUAACACAUCAUCUGCUUUUGUGACAGCAUUAGAUCUGGCUGCGCAAUAAAUAACCAUCCAGUAGGUUCAACCUAAAGGCCAUUUAUGAGAAGCAAAAAGACGUCCAGAUUUUCUUUAUUUGUCCUUAAACUAAUAGUUUUUGGUUUCUUUGGACACUCGUUCAAAAACCAAGCACCACCAAGAGGAUGUAGUGAGAAGUGUAGAAAUAAUAUGCUGGAUAGUCCUACAAGUCACAAAAAUUAUAUUUAAUUGCCAGUUUUUAUGUUACACAAUUGUAUUACAUUAAUAAAUCACUGCAACCACUACAACUCCCUGAAAAGGAAGACAUCUUAUGAAUAGAAAUGUAAAAAUCAAUGUAAGAAUGCAUGCGUUUGUGUAAAGAGUUAAUACCGCCAAACAUUUAGACAAUUUUUUUAUUAUUUGAACAUAAAAAAGCUCAACUUCAGGUCAGUUUCCUGCCUAUGCAACUUUCAUUUACUAUCUGUGUGGGUAUCAAUUAAUUUUUUUGUCACUAAGUAAAUUAAGCAGUCAAAAAAAUACUUACAUUUUACAUAUAAUUACAUUUCAUUGUAUAUUAUUUUUCCCCAAAACAAUAUUAUGCAGUAUUCUCAUUUAUUGUUGUUCUGAUAUCCAUUUGGAUCAGUUUACUCUAAAAAAUGUGGCAGAUUAUUAAGCCUGACGUAAUCAAAAGUGACUUCUUGCUGGCAGUUCUACCUGACAGGUACAAAUUCAAGUCGGUAAAAAACACCAACAAAAAGUUGGAAACAGAAUAACUAAAAUUGCAAAGUUUUGAAUUGACCAGCAUUGAAAAGGAUUCAAAGUUGUUGUGUCAGGCAGAAGUCUAUAAUAAUGUCUACUGCAUGUGUUGGUGUUUGCCCACAACGUUAGCACACUGCAGCCGCCAGGCACUCAAGAUGACCGUCCUGAUUUAGUCCCCAAAAUCAAUUUAAAGCCGUUUUUCGUCUCCCUGUUGGUCAGCUGAAAUAAACUCCCCUUAACUUUAUAAAAAACAGUUCAAGUCCAGUAUUUUACCUACUGAAGAAAAGCUGAGCAAAUAUUGUCAAGAUACCAGUGUCUGUUUGUGUAGAAGUGGGGUUCUGUGGUGUUGCUAUAAGCAGUCAGGGUCUUAAAUAUAGUAGGUAUUCCCUGAUCAAGCUGAGUUUAAUAAAAUACAAGUUAAAAGAGGAUCGAUGUGACAGCCAUUCUGAUCUAAAGAGGUUUUUUUUAGAUAUUUUUGAGACUGGUGUUGUUUGAAAAUGACUGGAUCUGUUUCAAGCAGAAAGUUUAAUAAAUUACCAGCUUGAUUCUCCAAACAGAAUCCUCUCUGCCUUCUUAAACCAACUCUGAUCUCACAAUAUUUCACUGACAUUUAACUGAACACUACAUUAUUGCUGAUUGGCUGUUUAUCCAAGAGCAGAAGUGCUCAAACUGUCUCCACUGUUAAUGCACAUUAAGCUAUAUUUUCUGUUCGAACUAUUAAAAAAGGCAGUUAUAAACGUUUUUAGAGGGAGUCUCAAAUAUUUGUGGAUUGUAGCUAUUUGCUGUGCUUAAACAUUUCUCAUAAUGAACCAUAAACCAACACAGUCUUUCACAUAAAUACCUGUAGAUUUUAAAACCAUUUAAUCUAAAGUAAAACCCAGAGGUAGGAGAUCCUUCAAGGUCAGACAGGUCUGUCCUGUCAAAACCAAUUUGCAAGGAUUUCUCUGCAUUUUUUUAAGAUACGAGUUUCCUCUGAAAGUUUUGUUUUUCUCUGUUCUGUUUCUCACAUUUUAGGACAUAAUUUGGGUCAGAAAAUAAUACUUGGGGAACCCAUGGCUGUAAAAUUUAAGGCUCAAAUUUAGCCUUAAAUGUAAGGGUUUAGGACUUAGUGUGAACUGCUAGGCAGGUCACUAGCUAGCUUAACAGAGAGCUAGCUUGAUUGUUGUUUACUGCUAAAAAUGUUUAAACAACUAGCAUGGCGGUUCUUGACAUGAACCAAAUGGGCAGUUGCCCAGGGCUGCAUUGGAAAGAGGGGUACAUGAGCAACAGAUAAAAUAAAAUUAAACAAGUUUUCUAUUGCUUUAUUCCCCUACAAUAAUGGAAAAUUGUGUAUGUUAAACCAAGUUAACUCAAUUGUUACUUUAGAACUCCACUUGAAAAAACACAAAAAAU